AUGGCCAAGUCCAAGAACCACAGCACAAACAACCAGUCCCGAAAAAGGCACAGAAAUGGUAUCAAGAAACCCCGAUCACGAAGAUAUGAAUCUCUUAAGGGGAUGGACCCCAAGUUCCCGAGGAACAUGUGCUUUGCCAAGAAGCAAAACAAGAAGGUCCUAAAGAAGAUGCAGGCCAACAGUGACAAGGCCAUGAGUGCACGUGCUGAGGUUAUCAAGGCCCUCGUAAAGCCCAAGGAGGUUAAGCUCAAGAUCCCAAAGGGUGUCAGCUGCAAGCUCGAUCGACUUGCCUACAUUGCCCACCCCAAGCUUGGGAAGCGGGCUCGUGCCCGCAUUGCCAAGGGGCUCAGGCUGUGCUGGCCAAAGGCCAAGGCCAAGGAUCAAACCAAGGCCCAGGCUGCAGCUCCAGCUUCAGUUCCAGCUCAGGCUCCCAAAGGUGCCCAGGCCCCUACAAAGGCUUCAGAGUAG
rnacentral:lncRNA from 1 species